GUCACUUUAUAGCUCAGUGGCAGAGCACUGGUCUUGUAAACCAGGGGUCGUGAGUUCGACUCAUUGGUGGCU